rnacentral:rRNA from 1 species
GUGGGGAAUCUUCCGCAAUGGACGAAAGUCUGACGGAGCAACGCCGCGUGAGUGAAGAAGGUUUUCGGAUCGUAAAGCUCUUUCGUUAGGGACGAACGUGCUCUUUGUGAAUAAUGAGGAGUAAUGACGGUACCUAAAUAAGAAGCCACGGCUAACUACGUGCCAGCAGCCGCGGUAAUACGUAGGUGGCAAGCGUUGUCCGGAAUUAUUGGGCGUAAAGCGCGCGCAGGCGGGAUAUCAAGUCUGUAUUAAAAGUGCGAGGCUCAACCUCGUGAGGGGACAGAAACUGGUAUUCUUGAGUGUCGGAGAGGAAAGUGGAAUUCCAAGUGUAGCGGUGAAAUGCGUAGAGAUUUGGAAGAACACCAGUGGCGAAGGCGACUUUCUGGACGAUGUCUGACGCUGAGGCGCGAAAGCUAGGGGAGCGAACGGGAUUAGAUACCCGGGUAGUCC